rnacentral:rRNA from 1 species
CCUACGGGUGGCAGCAGUGGGGAAUAUUGGACAAUGGGGGCAACCCUGAUCCAGCCAUACCGCGUGUGUGAAGAAGGCCCUCGGGUUGUAAAGCACUUUCAGUGAGGAAGAACGCCUGGUGGUUAAUACCCAUCAGGAAAGACAUCACUCACAGAAGAAGCACCGGCUAACUCCGUGCCAGCAGCCGCGGUAAUACGGAGGGUGCGAGCGUUAAUCGGAAUUACUGGGCGUAAAGCGCGCGUAGGUGGCUUGAUAAGCCGGUUGUGAAAGCCCCGGGCUCAACCUGGGAACGGCAUCCGGAACUGUCAAGCUAGAGUGCAGGAGAGGAAGGUAGAAUUCCCGGUGUAGCGGUGAAAUGCGUAGAGAUCGGGAGGAAUACCAGUGGCGAAGGCGGCCUUCUGGACUGACACUGACACUGAGGUGCGAAAGCGUGGGUAGCAAACAGGAUUAGAUACCCUAGUAGUC